rnacentral:rRNA from 1 species
GAAUUCGCCCUUAGAGUUUGAUCCUGGCUCAGGACGAACGCUGGCGGCGUGCCUAACACAUGCAAGUCGAGCGGGGACAUGGAGGAGCUUGCUCCGAGAUGUUCUAGCGGCGGACGGGUGAGUAACGCGUGAGCAACCUGCCUUUCACAGGGGGAUAACGCAUCGAAAGAUGUGCUAAUACCGCGUAAGACCACGGUGUCGCAUGACACAGGGGUCAAAGGAGCAAUCCGGUGAGAGAUGGGCUCGCGUCCGAUUAGCUAGUUGGUGAGAUAACAGCCCACCAAGGCGACGAUCGGUAGCCGACCUGAGAUGGUGAUCGGCCACAUUGGAACUGAGAUACGGUCCAGACCCCUACGGGAGGCAGCAGUGGGGAAUAUUGGGCAAUGGGCGAAAGCCUGACCCAGCAACGCCGCGUGAGGGAAGAAGGGUUUCGGCUCGUAAACCUCUGUCCUAUGGGACGAAGGAAGUGACGGUACCAUAGGAGGAAGCCCCGGCUAACUACGUGCCAGCAGCCGCGGUAAUACGUAGGGGGCGAGCGUUGUCCGGAAUGAUUGGGCGUAAAGGGCGCGUAGGCGGCCUAUUAAGUCUGGAGUGAAAGUCCUGCUUUCAAGGUGGGAAUUGCUUUGGAUACUGAUGGGCUGGAGUGCAGGAGAGGAAAGCGGAAUUACCGGUGUAGCGGUGAAAUGCGUAGAGAUCGGUAGGAACACCAGUGGCGAAGGCGGCUUUCUGGACUGAAACUGACGCUGAGGCGCGAAAGCGUGGGGAGCAAACAGGAUUAGAUACCCUGGUAGUCCACGCGGUAAACG